rnacentral:rRNA from 1 species
AUGAAGAACGCAGCGAAAUGCGAUAAGUAAUGUGAAUUGCAGAAUUCAGUGAAUCAUCGAAUCUUUGAACGCACAUUGCGCCCGCCAGUAUUCUGGCGGGCAUGCCUGUCCGAGCGUCAUUUCAACCCUCGAACCCCUCCGGGGGGUCGGCGUUGGGG